rnacentral:lncRNA from 1 species
UUUAAACCUAAUUUUUGCCUAGACUGCUACUUUGAAGCUUUCAGUCCACAAGGAUGCCCUGAUUUAUGCCUAAGUCAUUUUUAUCGUGUUCGAUUUAGCGGUUUUUUUUUGUUUUUCUUUGUCUCUUUUUUUGUCAAAAGGUUGUGACUUCCAUGUUAUUGGUUGAUAAGGAACAACCACUAUAAUAUUUUUUGGUUUUUAACUAUUUCUUCGACACUUCAUGAUGUGUGCGAAGAAGAGGAUGUGGUUAAACCUCUUAUUGGAAGGUGUAUAGUAAGACUGGUUCUCU